AUAUAGGUACCAUGACAAAAUCAUUUCGCUUCAGGCCAACAACCAUUGAAAUUUCAGCGUGUAGUUAGGAUAGUCGCGAGUAU